rnacentral:lncRNA from 1 species
GACAUGGUGAGGUAAAUCAAUGUAUAUUGUCUGAAAUGAUAGACUGUUGUCAAGCACUAAGUUAAAUUCAAUGUUUAUUUUAUUUUUUAUCUAUUUUUUCACUGUUUUCAUACAAAAAUGUAACAAGAAAAUAACUAUCAAAACCAAGCUUAAGGAGUAAACAAAGACUCACAAAACCAAAGGACAUUUACAUCAACAGUUAUAAAUAAUAAUUAAGAAACAACUCCACUAAAAACCGGGAGAGAAAUCGGGUGCAUUUCCUGCACUGUAUACCGCAAACUGUCAUGUUAUUUCCUUGUACAGUUCAGUAAUGAUGGAAGGUUAUUAUGACUGAGGAAGAAUAUCAGAUAUGAUUUCUGACACACUUUUGUCAUAAUGGUCAAUCCAGUGGCGGAUCCAGAACUUUUCCUAAGGUGGGGCCCG